UGUGUGUGUGUGUGUGUGUGUGUAUACACACACACACACACACACACA
rnacentral:miRNA from 1 species